rnacentral:rRNA from 1 species
UGGGGAAUAUUGGACAAUGGGCGAAAGCCUGAUCCAGCCAUGCCGCGUGUGUGAAGAAGGUCUUCGGAUUGUAAAGCUCUUUAAGUUGGGAGGAAGGGCAGUAAGCGAAUACCUUGCUGUUUUGACGUUACCGACAGAAUAAGCACCGGCUAACUCUGUGCCAGCAGCCGCGGUAAUACAGAGGGUGCAAGCGUUAAUCGGAAUUACUGGGCGUAAAGCGCGCGUAGGUGGUUCGUUAAGUUGAAUGUGAAAGCCCCGGGCUCAACCUGGGAACUGCAUCCAAAACUGGCGAGCUAGAGUAGGGCAGAGGGGGGUGGAAUUUCCUGUGUAGCGGUGAAAUGCGUAGAUAUAGGAAGGAACACCAGUGGCGAAGGCGACAACCUGGGCUCAUACUGACACUGAGGUGCGAAAGCGGGGGGAGCAAACAGG